UUUUGCCUACGGGAGGCAGCAGUGGGGAAUAUUGCACAAUGGGGGGAACCCUGAUGCAGCGACGCCGCGUGAGUGAAGAAGUAUUUCGGUACGUAAAGCUCUAUCAGCAGGGAAGAAAAAAGGACGGUACCUGAGUAAGAAGCCCCGGCUAACUACGUGCCAGCAGCCGCGGUAAUACGUAGGGGGCAAGCGUUAUCCGGAUUUACUGGGUGUAAAGGGGGCGCAGACGGCGAUGCAAGCCAGG
rnacentral:rRNA from 1 species